rnacentral:rRNA from 1 species
GACGAACGCUGGCGGCGUGCCUAAUACAUGCAAGUAGAACGCAGUUGCGAGCGGGUGAGUAAAGCGUAGGUAACUGCCUGGUAGCGGGGGAGAACUAUUGGAAACGAUAGCUAAUACCGCAUACUACACAAUGGACCUGCGUUGUAUUAGCUAGUUGGUGGGGUAACGGCUCACAAAGGCAACGAUAAAGAGCCGACCUGAGAGGGUGAUCGGCCACACUGGGACUGAGACACGGCCCAGACUCCUACGGGAGGCAGCAGUAGGGAAUCUUCGGCAAUGGACGGAAGUCUGACCGAGCAACGCCGCGGGAGUGAAGAAGGUUUUCGGAUCGUAAAGCUCUGUUGUAAGAGACGCGGUAUCUUACCAGAAAGGGACGGCUAACUACGUGCCAGCAGCCGCGGUAAUUC